UACGGAGGGGGCUAGCGUUGUUCGGAAUUACUGGGCGUAAAGCGCACGUAGGCGGCGAUUUAAGUCAGAGGUGAAAGCCCGGGGCUCAACCCCGGAACUGCCUUUGAGACUGGAUUGCUUGAAUCACGGAGAGGUGGGUGGAAUUCCGAGUGUAGAGGUGAAAUUCGUAGAUAUUCGGAAGAACACCAGUGGCGAAGGCGGCCCACUGGACGUGUAUUGACGCUGAGGUGCGAAAGCGUGGGGAGCAAACAGG
rnacentral:rRNA from 1 species